rnacentral:misc_RNA from 1 species
GCUGGAUCUUCAUUAUCUAAUUCACCGUCAAUUUCUUCAAGCGGAGGAGGAUUCCCAGCAAUUGCAUUCGAUAUAAACGAUGGGAGGAUUCUGUUGGCGCUACCGGAGAUAAUACGGUAUGCCGGAUCAACCAGUUUCGAUAACCAGCUAGUCCGACCAGACUGGUUCAAUGGUGGACGGUCGUAAGGAGUCGCCGGAGGUUUCCUCGCGGACGGUUUCUUAAACUUCCCGCCG